UGACUGCGUACCUUUUGUAUAAUGGGUCAGCGACUUAUAUUCUGUAGCAAGGUUAACCGAAUAGGGGAGCCGGAGGGAAACCGAGUCUUAAUUGGGCGUUAAGUUGCAGGGUAUAGACCCGAAACCCGGUGAUCUAGCCAUGGGCAGGUUGAAGGUUGGGUAACACUAACUGGAGGACCGAACCGACUAAUGUUGAAAAAUUAGCGGAUGACCUGUGGCUGGGGGUGAAAGGCCAAUCAAACCGGGAGAUAGCUGGUUCUCCCCGAAAGCUAUUUAGGUAGCGCCUCGUGAAUUCAUCUCCGGGGGUAGAGCACUGUUUCGGCUAGGGGGCCAUCCCGGCUUACCAACCCGAUGCAAACUGCGAAUACCGGAGAAUGUUAUCACGGGAGACACACGGCGGGUGCUAACGUCCGUCGUGAAGAGGGAAACAACCCAGACCGCCAGCUAAGGUCCCAAAGUCAUGGUUAAGUGGGAAACGAUGUGGGAAGGCCCAGACAGCCAGGAUGUUGGCUUAGAAGCAGCCAUCAUUUAAAGAAAGCGUAAUAGCUCACUGGUCGAGUCGGCCUGCGCGGAAGAUGUAACGGGGCUAAACCAUGCACCGAAGCUGCGGCAGCGACGCUUAUGCGUUGUUGGGUAGGGGAGCGUUCUGUAAGCCUGUGAAGGUGGCCUGUGAGGGUUGCUGGAGGUAUCAGAAGUGCGAAUGCUGACAUAAGUAACGAUAAAGCGGGUGAAAAGCCCGCUCGCCGGAAGACCAAGGGUUCCUGUCCAACGUUAAUCGGGGCAGGGUGAGUCGACCCCUAAGGCGAGGCCGAAAGGCGUAGUCGAUGGGAAACGGGUUAAUAUUCCCGUACUUGGUGUUACUGCGAAGGGGGGACGGAGAAGGCUAUGUUGGCCGGGCGACGGUUGUCCCGGUUUAAGCGUGUAGGUGUGUGUUCCAGGUAAAUCCGGUUCACUUUAACACUGAGGCGUGACGACGAGGCACUACGGUGCUGAAGCAACAAAUGCCCUGCUUCCAGGAAAAGCCUCUAAGCAUCAGGUAACAUCAAAUCGUACCCCAAACCGACACAGGUGGUCAGGUAGAGAAUACCAAGGCGCUUGAGAGAACUCGGGUGAAGGAACUAGGCAAAAUGGUGCCGUAACUUCGGGAGAAGGCACGCUGACAUGUAGGUGAAGUGAUUUACUCACGGAGCUGAAGUCAGUCGAAGAUACCAGCUGGCUGCAACUGUUUAUUAAAAACACAGCACUGUGCAAACACGAAAGUGGACGUAUACGGUGUGACGCCUGCCCGGUGCCGGAAGGUUAAUUGAUGGGGUCAGCGCAAGCGAAGCUCCUGAUCGAAGCCCCGGUAAACGGCGGCCGUAACUAUAACGGUCCUAAGGUAGCGAAAUUCCUUGUCGGGUAAGUUCCGACCUGCACGAAUGGCGUAAUGAUGGCCAGGCUGUCUCCACCCGAGACUCAGUGAAAUUGAACUCGCUGUGAAGAUGCAGUGUACCCGCGGCAAGACGGAAAGACCCCGUGAACCUUUACUAUAGCUUGACACUGAACAUUGAGCCUUGAUGUGUAGGAUAGGUGGGAGGCUUUGAAGCGUGGACGCCAGUCUGCGUGGAGCCGACCUUGAAAUACCACCCUUUAAUGUUUGAUGUUCUAACGUGGACCCGUUACCCGGGUUGCGGACAGUGUCUGGUGGGUAGUUUGACUGGGGCGGUCUCCUCCUAAAGAGUAACGGAGGAGCACGAAGGUUGGCUAAUCCUGGUCGGACAUCAGGAGGUUAGUGCAAUGGCAUAAGCCAGCUUGACUGCGAGCGUGACGGCGCGAGCAGGUGCGAAAGCAGGUCAUAGUGAUCCGGUGGUUCUGAAUGGAAGGGCCAUCGCUCAACGGAUAAAAGGUACUCCGGGGAUAACAGGCUGAUACCGCCCAAGAGUUCAUAUCGACGGCGGUGUUUGGCACCUCGAUGUCGGCUCAUCACAUCCUGGGGCUGAAGUAGGUCCCAAGGGUAUGGCUGUUCGCCAUUUAAAGUGGUACGCGAGCUGGGUUUAGAACGUCGUGAGACAGUUCGGUCCCUAUCUGCCGUGGGCGCUGGAGAACUGAGGGGGGCUGCUCCUAGUACGAGAGGACCGGAGUGGACGCAUCACUGGUGUUCGGGUUGUCAUGCCAAUGGCACUGCCCGGUAGCUAAAUGCGGAAGAGAUAAGUGCUGAAAGCAUCUAAGCACGAAACUUGCCCCGAGAUGAGUUCU
rnacentral:rRNA from 1 species